rnacentral:rRNA from 1 species
UGAUUAAUGAUGCGCGCGGUUUACUGAAAAAACGCUCCUCCAAUUGCAAUCGCCACGUCGGCAGUGGCGCUUAGGCUUAACGAUCUUGGGCAGGAUUGGGAGACGUCAACCUAGUUCUUCAAUUAACUGGUCCUGACCACGAGCAUGUCAAGAGACCUUCAGAACGAACAUGAAUGAAACGACACGAACAUGAAUGAAACGACACGAACAGGCGAUUCACCUACGAAUUUAACUGAUUAUACAGAGAUACAGAAGUAAUAGAAUCUCUUUUCUUUUCCUCGCUAAAGAUUUAUACAAAGAUGAAGCGACACGAACAUGAACUCUCCUAUCCGCCGUCCGUCGACCGACCGGUCGAUCAGUGCACGAGGUAGGUGACGGCAAGCGCGGCGGCCAUGAGCAGGUACGCCACGGCCUGGUCGACCCUCCUGCCGUCGCCGGCCACGGCCGCCAACCCCUCCGCCUUCCUCGCCCCGCCCUGCGCCGCGCCGGCAGCGGGCACGUCGACGUUCGCCGCGCGAGCCAUCGCGUGAUGACCGAUGAACGACCCGCUCACAAGAAUCGGCUCGACCGACGGUAUGCCGGGUCCUUCCCUGGUGAGCCGACGAAGAAGAAAGAAGAUCUGGAUCCGGGCUGUGGGUGUUGGUCGUGGCCAGUUUGUGCUUGGUGGAGAGGCGGUGGAUCUGGCGUGUUUAUAUAGCGGGAUAGGAUUUGGGAGGGUAUUACGGGCCGGAUUCCCGGUCAAACGUGCCUGCCUGCCGGCCUUUUGCUUGGGCGCGUAAAAGUCGUUUGCUCGGAAGCUUCUGCGGUGUUUCCACGUGGCUGAGACGAGGAUGCCGCGUCCAAAUCGAAUCAGC